rnacentral:rRNA from 1 species
GACAGGUGGUGCAUGGUUGUCGUCAGCUCGUGUCGUGAGAUGUUGGGUUAAGUCCCGCAACGAGCGCAACCCUGACCUUAGUUGCCAGCAUUCAGUUGGGCACUCUAAGGUGACUGCCGGCUAAAAGUCGGAGGAAGGUGGGGAUGACGUCAAAUCAUCAUGCCCCUUAUGACCUGGGCUACACACGUGCUACAAUGGGCGGUACAAAGGGUCGCGAACCCGCGAGGGGGAGCCAAUCCCAAAAAGCCGCUCUCAGUUCGGAUUGCAGGCUGCAACUCGCCUGCAUGAAGCCGGAAUCGCUAGUAAUCGCGGAUCAGCAUGCCGCGGUGAAUACGUUCCCGGGCCUU